rnacentral:rRNA from 1 species
CAGUCGCCGCGGGAAUACAGAGGGUGCGAGCGUUAAUCGGAUUUACUGGGCGUAAAGCGUGCGUAGGCGGCUUCUUAAGUCGGAUGUGAAAUCCCUGAGCUUAACUUAGGAAUUGCAUUCGAUACUGGGAAGCUAGAGUAUGGGAGAGGAUGGUAGAAUUCCAGGUGUAGAGGUGAAAUGCGUAGAGAUCUGGAGGAAUACCGAUGGCGAAGGCAGCCAUCUGGCAUAAUACUGACGCUGAGGUACGAAAGCAUGGGGAGCAAACAGGAUUAGAUACCCGUGUAGUCCCUGUCUCUUAUAA